AUACGAAAGGUGCAAGCGUUGUUCGGAUUUACGGGGCGUAAAGAGAGUGUAGGUGGUUUAUUAAGUCGGAUGUGAAAUCCCGGGGCUCAACCUCGGAACUGCAUUCGAUACUGAUAGGCUAGAGUUUGGGAGGGGUAAGCGGAAUUCCGUGUGUAGCAGUGAAAUGCGUAGAUAUACGGAGGAACACCUGAGGCGAAGGCGGCUUACUGGACCAAUACUGACACUGAGACUCGAAAGCGUGGGUAGCAAACAGGAUUAGAAACCCUAGUAGUCC
rnacentral:rRNA from 1 species